GCUGCCGUAGCUCAGAGGUAGAGCACUCCCUUGGUAAGGGAGAGGUCGAGAGUUCAAUUCUCUCCGGCAGCACCA
rnacentral:tRNA from 5 species